rnacentral:lncRNA from 1 species
GUCAGUUGGGCACCUUCUUCCUCUCUCCCUUCCCGCUUAUUCUGAGUGGCGGGGAUUAGCGGUGUUUGCCCCUGGAUAAAAUCUGAGAAGCCCUCCCUGGAGGGUGAAUAAUCGGCCACAGGAGGACUAGAGCUCCUCAGAGAAUCACCCCACCUUGGAGAAGCUGAGCAGAGCUGGUGGUGACUCCUCUGGAAUUCCACGGCAGAUACGGAGGGAAGGAAAAAGGACCAUGUGUCUAAAAACCCUAAUGGGAUCCACCCCAAAUUUUGGCAACAAGAUGGGGGAGGUCACCAGCCUUCCUGACUUCUUCCUGCCUAGAAUGAAACGUGGCCGUUGGAAUGCCCUGCCAACUUCACAUAGCACACAAGGAUCAGAUGUAUUUUACCGUUGAGAAGAAGGAAAAGGAGACUGAGUCAUGUACUGGAUCAACCGUGUCCUCUCAAAACGCUGGUGGGGAAGCACACAUGGUUACCCAGAAACUACAAAUUGUGUACUUGAAAUCAACAAAAAAAGUACCUAGGCCUACUUUCCUUCUGCCUGACGUACAUCCUUUAGAAUUUUCUUUAGCAAAUGCCCGUUGGUAGCAAACCUGCCCUUCAUUUGUCUGAAAAUGACUUUAUUUGGCCUUUGCCCUUAAAAUAUAUCUUC